rnacentral:rRNA from 1 species
UGGGGAAUAUUGCACAAUGGAGGGAACUCUGAUGCAGCGACGCCGCGUGAACGAAGAAGGCUUUCGAGUCGUAAAGUUCUUUUAUAUGGGAAGAUAAUGACGGUACCAUAAGAAAAAGCCCCGGCUAACUACGUGCCAGCAGCCGCGGUAAUACGUAGGGGGCUAGCGUUGUCCGGAAUCACUGGGCGUAAAGGGUUCGCAGGCGGAAAUGCAAGUCAGGUGUAAAAGGCAGCAGCUUAACUACUGUAAGCAUUUGAAACUGCAUAUCUUGAGAAGAGUAGAGGUAAGUGGAAUUUUUAGUGUAGCGGUGAAAUGCGUAGAUAUUAAAAAGAAUACCGGUGGCGAAGGCGACUUACUGGGCUCAUUCUGACGCUGAGGAACGAAAGCGUGGGUAGCAAACAGG